rnacentral:rRNA from 1 species
UGAAGCCUUCGGGAGUGAGUUUGAAGGCGAUAGUGGCGGACGGGUGAGUAACGCGUGAGCAAUCUGCCUUUAAGAGGGGGACAACAGUUGGAAAACGACUGCUAAUACCGCAUAAGACCACACUGACGCAUGUCAGAGGGGUCAAAGGAAAGAACCGCUUAAAGAUGAGCUCGCGUCCCAUUAGUUAGUUGGCGGGGUAAAGGCCCACCAAGACGACGAUGGGUAGCCGACCUGAGAGGGUGAUCGGCCACACUGGAACUGAGACACGGUCCAGACUCCUACGGGAGGCAGCAGUGGGGAAUAUUGGGCAAUGGGCGCAAGCCUGACCCAGCAACGCCGCGUGAAGGAAGAAGGUCUUCGGAUUGUAAACAUCUGUCCUAUGGGACGAAGGAAGUGACGGUACCAUAGGAGGAAGCCCCGGCUAACUACGUGCC